UGCCUAAAACAUAGCGGUAAUGCAUCAGAUCCCAUUAGAACUCCAUAGUUAAGCGCACUUGGUCUAGAGUAGUACUGGGAUGGGUGACUGCUCAGGAAGUACUAGUAUUUUACAUGC
rnacentral:rRNA from 1 species